GUGCCAUUCACUGAAAUGGGGAAUAUUGGGAAAGAACUAAGUUUGGCCAGCGAAGAAAUCUGUCUCCUGGCAAAUGGAAGCACUACUGCCCCACUUUUUUCUUAUCUGGACUGCAACCAAGACUUUGACUCCAGUGCAAUCGUAAUACCAUUAUAGUCAGAGCAUUUCCUCUGAUGAGAUGAAUUUCUUCUGUCUCAGCAGUGCUUACAAUGACAAGUCUCUUAGGAUAAAAGCACCGUCUCUGAAAGCACCAUGACAAAUUAUCCAGUGCUGAUGGGCGUCUUGUGCUUAACAAUUUUGUUAUGGAAAAAAAGUUCAUGAAUUUGUGUAAAGCUGACCACACUUCACCUAUUGAUUAACUUAAAAGUUCAGCACUGAGAAAGGUAAAUUGCUUACAACGCUUCAGGCAUAUAUAUGGAAUGAUAUAUUUUUCAACUGUUUGGAUACUGAGAAGAAAUCUCAAAGGAAAUUUUUCCCUCAUUCUGUGUGCCAUCUAUGGCAUCCUUUCAGUUUAUACCUGAGUGCUAUCAUGCAUGGA